rnacentral:rRNA from 1 species
CCUACGUGAGGCAGCAGUGGGGAAUAUUGGACAAUGGGGGGAACCCUGAUCCAGCGACGCCGCGUGAGUGAAGAAGUAUUUCGGUAUGUAAAGCUCUAUCAGCAGGGAAGAAAGAAAUGACGGUACCUGACUAAGAAGCCCCGGCUAACUACGUGCCAGUAGCCGCGGUAAUACGUAGGGGGCAAGCGUUAUCCGGAUUUACUGGGUGUAAAGGGAGGUUAGACGGCGAUGCAAGUCUGAAGUGAAAGGCGGGGGCCCAACCCCCGGACUGCUUUGGAAACUGUAUGGCUGGAGUGCAGGAGAGGUAAGUGGAAUUCCUAGUGUAGCGGUGAAAUGCGUAGAUAUUAGGAGGAACACCAGUGGCGAAGGCGGCUUACUGGACUGUAACUGACGUUGAGGCUCGAAAGCGUGGGGAGCAAACAGGAUUAGAUACCCUUGUAGUC